AUAUAAAAUAAAUGUGCAAUUUAUGUGCAAUAUUUAUAAAUCGUAAGUUUAGCACGGACAUUGGGAAGAGUAAUCAGAUGGGUUUUUUUCUGUCAUCCAGCAAACUCCAGGUCCCAAGCAUUCUGGAUAAGGGAUCCUGUUCCUGCAGAAGAGCCGCCCUCAGCCUUAUAAAGAACCCAAGCCUCCGCUGGCUGAUACUGGACCCCAAGUAGUGGUACCAACUGGACCCCUGGUUUAGAAUAUUAAGGGUUAAUGUACCUACCGUAGCCCAGCAGCAGGAGCAGCACCCCGGGCAGUGCCACAAGUCUCCCCAUUUCCCAGAGAGACAGCACUAACAGCUCCCCAGCAGCACCGGCACUCUCAUAACUGUCUCCUCCUCGCCCGGCCAGGUGCGGCCAAACGGAACAGGUGUAUUUCCUGUGCUCACCUGGAAGAGACCAGAGUGUGCAAUGUGGUUUUUCCUGCCUGACCCACUAAGCCUCCAAUCAGAACGCAGGACCAACCUGCCCGGCCACAAGCCCAGAC